CGCGCUCUAGGAGUGGGUCCGCGGCCCAUCAGCUAGUUGGUAGGGUAACGGCCUACCAAGGCAACGACGGGUAGCUGGUCUGAGAGGAUGGCCAGCCACACUGGAACUGAGACACGGUCCAGACCUCCGUACGGGAGGCAGCAGGUGGGGAAUCUUGCGCAAUGGACGAAAGUCUGACGCAGCGACGCCGCGUGGGUGACGAAGGCCUUCGGGGUUGUAAAGCCCUGUGGGGAGAGACGAACCGGCAUCUGGCUAACAUCCAGGUGCUCUGACGGUAUCUCCUUAGCAAGCAUCGGCUAACUCUGUGCCAGCAGCCGCGGUAAGACAGAGGAUGCAAACGUUGCUCGGAAUUACUGGGCGUAAAGCGCGCGCAGGCGGUCCCGUAAGUCGGGUGUGAAAGCCCCGGGCUCAACCCGGGAAGUGCACUCGAUACUGCGAGACUGGAGUACUGGAGAGGAGAGCGGAAUUCUCGGUGUAGAGGUGAAAUUCGUAGAUAUCGGGA
rnacentral:rRNA from 1 species